UACGUAGGGUGCAAGCGUUGUCCGGAAUUAUUGGGCGUAAAGAGCUCGUAGGCGGUCUGUCGCGUCGGCUGUGAAAUCCCGGAGCUCAACCCCCGGGCGUGCAGUGGAUACGGGCUGGCUAGAGGCAGGCAGGGGAGAACGGAAUUCCCGGUGUAGCGGUGAAAUGCGCAGAUAUCGGGAGGAACACCGGUGGCGAAGGCGGUUCUCUGGGCCUGUACUGACGCUGAGGAGCGAAAGCGUGGGGAGCGAACAGG
rnacentral:rRNA from 1 species